AACGAACGCUGGCGGCAUGCCUAACACAUGCAAGUCGAACGGGACCUUCGGGUCUAGUGGCGCACGGGUGCGUAACGCGUGGGAACCUGCCCUUAGGUUCGGAAUAACUCCCCGAAAGGGGUGCUAAUACCGGAUAAUGUCUUCGGACCAAAGAUUUAUCGCCUUUGGAUGGGCCCGCGUUGGAUUAGCUAGUUGGUAGGGUAAAAGCCUACCAAGGCGACGAUCCAUAGCUGGUCUGAGAGGAUGAUCAGCCACACUGGGACUGAGACACGGCCCAGACUCCUACGGGAGGCAGCAGUGGGGAAUAUUGGACAAUGGGCGAAAGCCUGAUCCAGCAAUGCCGCGUGAGUGACGAAGGCCUUAGGGUUGUAAAGCUCUUUUACCCGGGAUGAUAAUGACAGUACCGGGAGAAUAAGCUCCGGCUAACUCCGUG
rnacentral:rRNA from 1 species